CCCAAAUGUCUGAGGUAACCCUGCCCACACUCAGCACUGCGUCACCUUUCCCCCCAAAUUCAGACUUUACAGCCCAGGGACCCAGGUGUCCUGUCUCCCUGUCCCCAGCUUUUCGUUAGAGAUUCAGCUGUUCUGCCUCCAGAUCCAGCCCCUCAUAGGAUCCUCGGUCCUGCCUGCCCUGAGGCCCCGCUUUGGGUGCAGGCAACGGAGCUCCCGCCUGGCCCUGUCCGGCCCCUCAGUUCUUGGGCUGCUGCCCUGCCAGCCCCCGGUUCUGGCUCCCUCUACCCAGGCUCCCUUUAGGGACUCUAAGUGUAAGUUCUGCCAGAGGGUCCCAGGCGUCCUAGGCAGGCUUCAGGACACGGCCGCGCUGCUUUCCCAGGCUCUGUGUCCAGCAGGAGCCUGCUGUCAGUGCAGUGUCCCUGCCCUCUAUGCCAUGAGCUGUGUCAGAACAUCUUCCUCCCAGACCUACCUGGGCUUCCCUGCCCCCUCUUCUUUCAGAGCCCCCAGGCUCUCUGCCAGGGGGCUGGGUCCCAGAUGGGAUUUUUGUCUCCCAGCCGCAGGCAUUCCCUGCUCCUUCCCCGGUGGCUGGGACCCUGAUCCCUCCAGGAUCCCUGCCAGGGUCAAGCAGGCAGUUUGUUGUCUAGAUAAGGACUAUGUGUUUGUGAGGGGGAGGGCCCAGGGAGGGACAAGGAGAGGGAGAGACAGAGAGAGUGAGGAAUGAAAGUGAAGAAUGAGAGUGAGAGUGAGAGAGAGAGAGGAGAGUAUUGGUGUGAUGGGAGACAGGGAGGGCAGAAGACAUAUGGGAGGGGGAAUCUCUGACUCAUGGACUAUUGAGGAUCUGACUGGACUCAUCCCAUGUGGGAUCCCAAGCCCCCUUUUCCUCCUGGGUCUCUAAAGGAAGAUGGGGAAGAGGAAGGGGAAGAAGGUAUAAAGACUUCCCUUUUCCAGCCCUGCCCCUCCCUGCUGCCUCCCUCCCUCUCUUUGUGACUGCUGUGAGGCCUCACCCUUGAUAAAGCCCCUCAGCCCAGCCUCCUGUCCCAGAAAGACAAGGAAAAGUUGUUCAGAGGACAAGGCCUGCCCAAGGAGGGAGCCGGAGCCGGAGGGGAUGGCCGGUGGGAGCCACCCCCCCCCCCCUCAGGCAGAAGAUUCACACUGGCUCAGGUUUUCCCUGUAGCUUGUCCUCUGGACAAUGGCUGUGAGAACUCAGGAUGGGGGCUCAGGACCCUUCUGUUCUAUCUCUAGAACAGUAACUAUAUAUUACAAAGCCUGCUGAUGUGACAAAGUGAUUUGUGCAAGCCACAAGGAGGUACAAGGGGGAGAUUUUUUUGGAACUAUAGCCCUAAACUAUGGUACUCUUCUUGGGGUCAGUUUUCUGAAAAGGCCUCACUUACCCUCAAACUGACCCAAUACAAUUUAACAAACUAAUUCAAAAUGGAGCUAUUUUAAAAGAAAAUUAGAACAUGGAACACAUUACUUAUCACACAGAUGGAGAGCCAAAGAGUUUGGGAAUAUACAAGAGAAUGAAGAGGAAAAUUAAGUAAUAAAAACAAUUUAAAAUCAGAUAAAAUUUCUUAAUCAUUAUUGAUCGAAAAGGAAUGAAGUGAGCCUGAAUGUUUUUCCACAUGGAUUAUGUGAAUGAGGUUUUAUAUCUAGUAUGGGAUCUUCCAUGUCUAGUCUAGUCCCAGAAUAA